AGUGAACGCUGGCGGUAGGCCUAACACAUGCAAGUCGAACGGCAGCACCGUAAGAGCUUGCUCUUACGGGUGGCGAGUGGCGGACGGGUGAGGAAUACAUCGGAAUCUACUUUUUCGUGGGGGAUAACGUAGGGAAACUUACGCUAAUACCGCAUACGACCUACGGGUGAAAGCAGGGGAUCUUCGGACCUUGCGCGAUUGAAUGAGCCGAUGUCGGAUUAGCUAGUUGGCGGGGUAAAGGCCCACCAAGGCGACGAUCCGUAGCUGGUCUGUGAGGAUGAUCAGCCAAACUGGAACUGAGACACGGUCCAGGCUCCUACGGGAGGCAGCAGUGGGGAAUAUUGGACAAUGGGCGCAAGCCUGAUCCAGCCAUACCGCGUGGGUGAAGAAGGCCUUCGGGUUGUAAAGCCCUUUUGUUGGGAAAGAAAAGCAGCAGGUUAAUACCCCGCCGUUCUGACGGUACCCAAAGAAUAAGCAUCGGCUAACUUCGUG
rnacentral:rRNA from 1 species